rnacentral:rRNA from 1 species
UACGUAGGGUGCAAGCGUUGUCCGGAAUUAUUGGGCGUAAAGAGCUCGUAGGCGGUUUGUCGCGUCUGCUGUGAAAAUCCAGGGCUUAACCCUGGACCUGCAGUGGGUACGGGCAGACUAGAGUGCGGUAGGGGAGAUCGGAAUUCCUGGUGUAGCGGUGAAAUGCGCAGAUAUCAGGAGGAACACCGGUGGCGAAGGCGGAUCUCUGGGCCAUUACUGACGCUGAGGAGCGAAAGCGUGGGGAGCGAACAGG